AGAACGAACGCUGGCGGCAUGCCUAACACAUGCAAGUCGAACGCUUUUGGGGCUUCGGUCCCAAAGGAGUGGCGCACGGGUGAGUAGCGCGUGGGAACCUGCCCUGGAGUGGGGGAUAACCGAGGGAAACUUCGGCUAAUACCGCAUACGCCGGGAAACCGGGAAAGAUUUAUCGCUCUAGGAGGGGCCCGCGUCGGAUUAGGUAGUUGGUGGGGUAACGGCCUACCAAGCCUGUGAUCCGUAGCUGGUCUGAGAGGAUGAUCAGCCACACUGGGACUGAGACACGGCCCAGACUCCUACGGGAGGCAGCAGUGGGGAAUAUUGGACAAUGGGCGCAAGCCUGAUCCAGCAAUGCCGCGUGAGUGAUGAAGGCCUUCGGGUUGUAAAGCUCUUUCGCACGCGAGGAUGAUGACGCUAGCGUGAGAAGAAGCCCCGGCUAACUUCGCGCCAGCAGCCGC
rnacentral:rRNA from 1 species